CCUACGGGUGGCAGCAGUGAGGAAUAUUGGUCAAUGGGCGCUAGCCUGAACCAGCAACGUAGCGUGAAGGAUGACUGCCCUCUGGGUGGAAACCUUCUUUUUUAUGGGAAUAAAGUGCAGUGUGUCUACUGCUUUGCAUGUACCUUAUGAAUAAGGAUCGGCUAACUCCGUGCCAGCAGCCGCGGUAAUACGGAGGAUCCGAGCGUUAUCCGGAUUUAUUGGGUUUAAAGGGAGCGUAGGCGGGUUGUUAAGUCAGUUGUGAAAGUUCGCGGCUCAACCGUAAGAUUGCAGUUGAUACUGGCAUCCUUGAGUACAGGAGAGGUAGGCGGAAUUCGUGGUGUAGCGGUGAAAUGCGUAGAUAUCACGAAGAACUCCGAUGGCGAAGGCAGCCUGCUGGACUGUAACUGACGCUGAUGCUCGAAAGUGUGGGGAGCAAACAGGAUUAGAUACCCUGGUAGUC
rnacentral:rRNA from 1 species